rnacentral:rRNA from 1 species
GACGAACGCUGGCGGCGCUCCUAACACAUGCAAGUCGAACGAGCGAGAGAGAGCUUGCCUUCUCGAGCGAGUGGCGAACGGGUGAGUAACGCGUGAGGAACCUGCCUCAAAGAGGGGGACAACAGUUGGAAACGACUGCUAAUACCGCAUAAGCCCACAGGUCGGCAUCGACCAGAGGGAAAAGGAGCAAUCCGCUUUGAGAUGGCCUCGCGUCCGAUUAGCUAGUUGGUGAGGUAACGGCCCACCAAGGCGACGAUCGGUAGCCGGACUGAGAGGUUGAACGGCCACAUUGGGACUGAGACACGGCCCAGACUCCUACGGGAGGCAGCAGUGGGGAAUAUUGCACAAUGGGGGAAACCCUGAUGCAGCGACGCCGCGUGGAGGAAGAAGGUCUUCGGAUUGUAAACUCCUGUUGUUGAGGAAGAUAAUGACGGUACUCAACAAGGAAGUGACGGCUAACUACGUGCCAGCAGCCGCGGUAAAACGUAGGUCACAAGCGUUGUCCGGAAUUACUGGGUGUAAAGGGAGCGCAGGCGGGAAGACAAGUUGGAAGUGAAAUCUAUGGGCUCAACCCAUAAACUGCUUUCAAAACUGUUUUUCUUGAGUAGUGCAGAGGUAGGCGGAAUUCCUGGUGUAGCGGUGGAAUGCGUAGAUAUCGGGAGGAACACCAGUGGCGAAGGCGGCCUACUGGGCACCAACUGACGCUGAGGCUCGAAAGUGUGGGUAGCANACAGG